GGAUCUUAGGUAAAUACAUCAAAUGCAAAAAUCUUAAGUCUUGGCAAUGUACAUCCAUAUGUAGCAUUCCAAAGCUAUGUGUAUCACAUGCACUGGAUUUCAAAUUUCAUCGAAAAUUAGAUUAUGGGAUCUAAUCUUAAACUUGUCACACAAGUCUAAAGACCAUGAAAUUUCAUAUCUAAGAUUUGAACAUAGAUUGAUAAAACUUUAUCAUAAACAAAAAUACAUCAAGAACAUCAAGUAAACAUCAAUCGAAAAAUCUGAUUUUGACAUAGUUUGAACUGGAUCUAAUCCAUAUCA
rnacentral:lncRNA from 1 species